rnacentral:rRNA from 1 species
GCGGCGUGGAUUAGGCAUGCAAGUCGAGCGGUAAGGCUCCUUCGGGAGUACACGAGCGGCGAAAGGGAGAGUAACGCGUGGGCACCUGCCCUUGGACCUGGGAUAGCCAUGGGAAACUGUGGGUAAUACCAGAUAAAGUCUCUGGACCAAAGGUGUGAUUCCGUCCGAGGAUGGGCCCGCGUCCUAUUAGCUUGUUGGUGAGGUAACGGCUCACCAAGGCUUCGAUGGGUACCGGGUGUGAGAGCAUGGCCCGGCUCACUGGGACUGAGACACUGCCCAGACACCUACGGGUGGCUGCAGUCGAGAAUCUUCGGCAAUGGACGAAAGUCUGACCGAGCAACGCCGCGUGCGGGAAGAAGGCCCUCGGGUCGUAAACCGCUGUCAAUUGGGAGGAAAUGUAUGGGGGCUAUCCCCUGUAUUUGACCUAUCUUUGGAGGAAGGACGGGCUAAGUUCGUGCCAGCAGCCGCGGUAAGACGAACCGUCCAAACGUUAUUCGGUAUCACUGGGCUUAAAGGGUGCGUAGGCGGCCUGGCAAGUUGGGUGUGAAAUCCCUCGGCUCAACCGAGGAAUGGCGCCCAAAACUGCCAGGCUUGAGGAAGGUAGAGGUUAGCGGAACUAGCGGUGGAGCGGUGAAAUGCAUUGAUAUCGCUGGGAACACCAGUGGCGAAGGCGGCUAACUGGACCUUUUCUGACGCUGAGGCACGAAAGCUAGGGGAGCGAACGGGAUUAGAUACCCCGGUAGUCCUAGCUGUAAACGAUGAGCACUUGGUCGGGGAACCUCCCAUAGUUUCUCGGCCGU